rnacentral:pre_miRNA from 7 species
GACCGCCAGUGAAAAUCAAUUUUCACUGGCGGUCGGCGUAAUAAAACCGCCAGUGAAAAUCGAUUUUCACUGGCGGUC